rnacentral:rRNA from 1 species
CCUACGGGCGGCAGCAGUGGGGAAUAUUGGACAAUGGGGGGAACUCUGAUCCAGCGACGCCGCGUGAGUGAAGAAGUCUUUCGGUAUGUAAAGCUCUAUCAGCAGGGAAGAAAAUGACGGUACCUGACUACGAAGCCCCGGCUAACUACGUGCCAGCAGCCGCGGUAAUACGUAGGGGGCAAGCGUUAUCCGGAUUUACUGGGUGUAAAGGGAGCGUAGACGGUGCAGCAAGUCUGAUGUGAAAGGUCGGGGCUCAACCCCGGGACUGCAUUGGAAACUGUUGAACUGGAGUACAGGAGAGGUAGGCGGAAUUCAUGGUGUAGCGGUGAAAUGCGUAGAGAUUAGGAGGAACACCAGUGGCGAAGGCGGCUUACUGGACUGUAACUGACGUUGAGGCUCGAAAGCGUGGGGAGCAAACAGGAUUAGAUACCCCAGUAGUC